GACGAACGCUGGCGGCGUGCUUAACACAUGCAAGUCGAACGGAAAGGCCCUGCUUUUGUGGGGUGCUCGAGUGGCGAACGGGUGAGUAACACGUGAGUAACCUGCCCUUGACUUUGGGAUAACUUCAGGAAACUGGGGCUAAUACCGGAUAGGAGCUCCUGCUGCAUGGUGGGGGUUGGAAAGUUUCGGCGGUUGGGGAUGGACUCGCGGCUUAUCAGCUUGUUGGUGGGGUAGUGGCUUACCAAGGCUUUGACGGGUAGCCGGCCUGAGAGGGUGACCGGCCACAUUGGGACUGAGAUGCGGCCCAGACUCCUACGGGAGGCAGCAGUGGGGAAUAUUGCACAAUGGGCGGAAGCCUGAUGCAGCAACGCCGCGUGCGGGAUAACGGCAUUCGGGUUGUAAACCGCUUUCGCCUGUGACGAAGCGUGAGUGACGGUAAUGGGUAAAGAAGCACCGGCUAACUACGUG
rnacentral:rRNA from 1 species